GGAUGUGGCUCUGGAGAAUCUCCUUGUUUUUAAGGAGUGCCGAAGGUGUAAAAGGUACGAUGAGCGUUACCUUAAUCUCUCAGGCAAAAGGACAGAGUGCUUUUU
rfam:Eubacteriaceae bacterium CHKCI005 isolate CHKC5 genome assembly, contig: {contig12}